rnacentral:rRNA from 1 species
UACGUAGGGUGCGAGCGUUGUCCGGAAUUAUUGGGCGUAAAGGGCUCGUAGGCGGCCAACUAAGUCAGACGUGAAAUCCCUGGGCUCAACCCAGGAACUGCGUCCGAGACUGGGAGGCUUGAAUCCGGGAGAGGAUGCGGAAUUCCAGGUGGUAGCGGUGAAAUGCGUAGAUAUCUGGAGGAACACCGGUGGCGAAGGCGGCAUCCUGGACCGGGAUUGACACUGAGGCGCGAAAGCCAGGGAGCAACGGG